ACCUUGUUAAUUUAUUAUAAGGAACUAGGCAAAAUUGAUUUCCGCCUGUUUAUCAAAAACAUGUCCUCUAGNAAAAUAUUUUGAGGUCUGGCCUGCUCACUGAGCAANNNAUUUUUAAAGAGCCGCGGUAUUUUGACCGUGCAAAGGUAGCAUAAUCAUUAGUCUCUUAAUUAGUGGCUGGAAUGAAUGGCUUGACGAGAAAUCAACUGUCUCUUAAUAAAUUUUUGAAUUUAACUUUUGAGUCAAAAGGCUUAAAUUUUUCUUUAGGACGAGAAGACCCUAUAGAGCUUAACAUUUUAUUUUUAUAUAGUUUUUUGUUUGUCUUUCUAUAUUUAAUGAUGAUGUUUUGUUGGGGUGACAUGAAGAAUAAAUAAACUCUUCAUUAUUAUAUCAUUUAUUUAUGUUUGUUGUUUUGAUCCAUAAUUUAUGAUCAUAAGAUUAAGUUACCUUAGGGAUAACAGCGUAAUUGUUUUUGAGAGCUCAUAUCGACAAAGCAGAUUGCGACCUCGAUGUUGGAUUAAGAAAAAUUUUGGGUGCAGUAGCCCAGUAAUUAGGUCUGUUCGACCUUUAAAUUCUUACAUGAUCUGAGUUCAGACCGGCGUGAGCCAGGUCGGUUUCUAUCCUAAGAUUNAUUAAUUCAUAUUAGUACGAAAGGACCAUAUGGUUGAAAUANNUUUUUUAUUUUAUNUGAUUAAAAUUAAUUAAAUU
rnacentral:rRNA from 1 species